CUCAAAGGUCUUGCCCAAUUUUCACCAGUAAAAUCAAUGAAACUCCUGUUGGAUAAGCAGAGCACACCCCUGGUUAUGUCUCGGUUGGUUAUGGACGCAUGGCCUUAGGAAAAGAAGCUACCUCCAGAAUGAAGCCUUCACAGAGUCUGAAGCGCCAAGGAGACAAAAAGCAUUUUAAUAAGAUCAUUAAGUAUCUUACACCCAAAGCACAUUUCUCUAAUUCCAGUAACAUGAGCCAAAGCACCCCAUUGUUUUGGUUUUCUUCAGCAAGUUCACUUUGCAGUAUCAUCUGUAACUCCGUGAUUCUCGAC
rnacentral:lncRNA from 1 species